rnacentral:rRNA from 1 species
UACAGAGGGUGCGAGCGUUGUUCGGAGUUACUGGGCGUAAAGCGCACGCAGGCGGUCGGCUGCGUAGGUGGUGACAGUCCUCGGCUUACCUGAGGAAGCGCUGCCUAAACGGGUCGACUUGAGGGCCAGAGAGGGACACGGAACUCCGGGUGGAGCGGUGAAAUGCGUAGAGAUCCGGAAGAACACCAAAGGCGAAGGCAGUGUCCUGGCUGGCUCCUGACGCUCAGGUGCGAAAGCUAGGGGAGCAAACAGG